rnacentral:ncRNA from 1 species
AGAGGAAAAAUUUCCUGAAGUCCAUGGCCUUGAUCAUGCCUAUAUUUCAGGGUCAUUCAAUCAGGUCAUAAGAUUUCCCAAAAAUCAAUCUCAAUGAAGAGGGUGUUGAAAUCAAGGAAACAUUUGAGGGUAUUCCAUAAAUUUUUCCCCUUCAAGAAAUAUCACAGACAACCUUCCAUCCAAAGUCAACAAAAUUGAAAUCCAUUUUUUAGAGUUGUUGGUGCCUCAUCCUAUAACUGACGACAACGUUAGGAAAUCUGGAGAUGUCAUUGGGGGGCCCAGGAAGAGUUAUCUUUUAUUUUUAACAGCUUGCCCACCCUGAAAUUGGCUCAACCAGAGAUAGGGUCCAAAAGCUAGAAGAGAAUCACACGUCUUGCAAUGUCUGGUGCUCCCUCGACGACCCUUGAAAAUAUGGAGGACCGAGUACCAUCCAUGCCCGAUUGUACUCAUAACCGCAUCAGGUCUCCAGGGUGAACAACCUCU